rnacentral:rRNA from 1 species
UUGGUCCUACGGGAGGCAGCAGUGGGGAAUAUUGCACAAUGGGGGGAACCCUGAUGCAGCGACGCCGCGUGGGCGAUGGAGUAGUUCGGUAUGUAAAGCCCUAUCGGCAGGGAAGAAAAUGACAGUACCUGACUAAGAAGCCCCGGCUAACUACGUGCCAGCAGCCGCGGUAAUACGUAGGGGGCAAGCGUUAUCCGGAUUCACUGGGCGUAAAGGGAGCGCAGGCGGCACGGCAAGCCUGGUGUGAAAACCCGGGGCCCAACCCCGGGAGUGCAUUGGGA